UACGUAGGGUGCGAGUGUUAAUCGGAAUUACUGGGCGUAAAGCGUGCGCAGGCGGUUUGCUAAGACAGGUGUGAAAUCCCCGGGCUUAACCUGGGAACUGCGCUUGUGACUGGCAGGCUAGAGUACGGUAGAGGGGGGUGGAAUUCCUGGUGUAGCAGUGAAAUGCGUAGAUAUCAGGAGGACCACCGAUGGCGAAGGCAGCCCCCUGGGCCUGUACUGACGCUCAUGCACGAAAGCGUGGGGAGCAAACAGGAUUAGAUACCCU
rnacentral:rRNA from 1 species